rnacentral:rRNA from 1 species
GACGAACGCUGGCGGCGUGCUUAACACAUGCAAGUCGAACGGAAAGGCCCUGCUUGCAGGGUACUCGAGUGGCGAACGGGUGAGUAACACGUGGGUGAUCUGCCCUGCACUUCGGGAUAAGCCUGGGAAACUGGGUCUAAUACCGGAUAGGAGCCAUUUUUAGUGUGAUGGUUGGAAAGUUUUUUCGGUGUAGGAUGAGCUCGCGGCCUAUCAGCUUGUUGGUGGGGUAAUGGCCUACCAAGGCGGCGACGGGUAGCCGGCCUGAGAGGGUGGACGGCCACAGUGGGACUGAGAUACGGCCCAGACUCCGACGGGAGGCAGCAGUGGGGAAUAUUGCACAAUGGGCGCAAGCCUGAUGCAGAGACGCCGCGGGGGGGAGGACGGCCUUCGGGUUGUAAACUCCUUUCGCUAGGGACGAAGCUUUUUGUGACGGUACCUAGAUAAGAAGCACCGGCUAACUACGUG